rnacentral:rRNA from 1 species
AUUGAACGCUGGCGGCAGGCUUAACACAUGCAAGUCGAGCGGGGUGAUGGUGCUUGCACUAUCACUUAGCGGCGGACGGGCGAGUAAUGCUUAGGAAUCUGCCUAUUAGUGGGGGACAACAUCUCGAAAGGGAUGCUAAUACCGCAUACGUCCUACGGGAGAAAGCAGGGGAUCACUUGUGACCUUGCGCUAAUAGAUGAGCCCAAGUCGGAUUAGCUAGUUGGUGGGGUAAAGGCCUACCAAGGCGACGAUCUGUAGCGGGUCUGAGAGGAAGAUCCGCCACAGUGGGACUGAGACACGGCCCAGACUCCUACGGGAGGCAGCAGUGGGGAAUAUUGGACAAUGGGGGGAACCCUGAUCCAGCCAUGCCGCGUGUGUGAAGAAGGCCUUAUGGUUGUAAAGCACUUUAAGCGAGGAGGAGGCUCUUUUGGUUAAUACCCAAGAUGAGUGGACGUUACUCGCAGAAUAAGCACCGGCUAACUCUGUGCCAGCCGCCGCCGUAA